rnacentral:rRNA from 1 species
AUGCAUUUCCACUUCGCUGCCUAUUUAAUUGGGUUCGAAAAUGCAUACAUAGUCACCCUUCUUUUGAACAACAAAUACAGAUUCUUGUUCAUAGCAACUUCACCUACUGUUGUUAUAUAUUUGGUUGCCAGUAGGCCUGUAACAGCCUUUGAGAUCCCAACAAGUAGAAAGAGAGAGAUGGCAGAUUUUUUACUUGGUUUGGUUGGUUGGUUGCACCUUAACUACCAAAGUCAGGGCAAACGACAAGCUAGCAAUGUUGGCCGAGUCUGCGAGGUUCUCCUGUUUUGCUUUCCCUUUCCCAAAGUCAUCAUGCCGCCUGCCUCGCAAGAAUCCUGCCUUCCGUUUUGGCAGUCACCAGACCAGGGCAUGAAGACCACCUACUCUCUGGAGCAUGAAAAACAGGUUGGUUCCUUUCUUUGUGGUGGAAUCCAUGCAUGUGUGUGA